rnacentral:rRNA from 1 species
UUAAUUGAGAGUUUGAUCCUGGCUCAGGAUGAACGCUGGCGGGAUGCUUAACACAUGCAAGUCGAACGAAAUCCUUCGGGAUUUAGUGGCAGACGAGUGAGUAACACGUGAGAAUCUGGCUUGAGGUUUGGGACAACCGUUGGAAACGACUGCUAAUACCAAAUAUGCACAACUGUGAAAGGGGUUAACCCCGCUUCGUGAUGAGCUCGCGUCUGAUUAGCUAGUAGGUGUGGUAAGAGCGCACCUAGGCGACGAUCAG